rnacentral:rRNA from 1 species
UUAACGAACGAGACCACUGCCUGCUAAAUAGCCCAGUGAGUGAAUUUUCACUGACUGCUGGCUUCUUAGAGGGACGUGCAUUCUAUCAGAUGCAGGAGGAUAGUG